rnacentral:rRNA from 1 species
UACGAAGGGGGCUAGCGUUGCUCGGAAUCACUGGGCGUAAAGCGCACGUAGGCGGCUUUUUAAGUCAGGGGUGAAAUCCAGGAGCUCAACUCCAGAACUGCCUUUGAUACUGAGAAGCUUGAGUUCGGGAGAGGUGAGUGGAACUGCGAGUGUAGAGGUGAAAUUCGUAGAUAUUCGCAAGAACACCAGUGGCGAAGGCGGCUCACUGGCCCGAUACUGACGCUGAGGUGCGAAAGCGUGGGGAGCAAACAGG